UAGCAAGUAGAACCAACAAAGUAGAUACACCAAUCAAAUAUUCAAGUGACAUGACUAUACUAUUGAACUUGUUUUAAACAAGGAGCAGGUUGGGACAUGCAGUUGGCUACUCUUGUUUCUUUGUCAUUGCAGGCUGGUGGAGGAGACAUUUGGGACCGGAGGCAACAAGGAAAAGGAAGAAUUCCACACAUCAAAUCAAGAAUAAAGUGGAACACAGAUGAGUUGUCUGUUCAUAAUUUAUCUGCAGGGUGGAUGUAAAGAGUAAACCGGAGGGGGCAGAGUACGGAGCUUUGCGAUUUGCUUUGGUUGACCGGAGCGACGGAAGGUAGUUUGGCGUUUGCGAGGGCAGACGUAGAAAGUGUCGGUAGAGCCGAGGGAUAGAUACGUCGGUGCGGUGAAGUGGUCUCUUGCGAAGGAGGUUUUGAGACGGUCUGAAGUGUACAGUACAGGGUUUGAGGGAGGAGUCCAUAUUGAGCAAUAAACACAAAUGUACUAACCUGGGGUCUUUUUUUUUUUUUUUUUUUGUAUGCUGGCCAGCUCCUUUGUGUCGUUUUGUUAAAUUGCAGUUUGCCUUGUUUGACUGUCGCUACGGAAGGGUAGUUUGGUGGUAGGUCUGGUUGUAAUGAGGGCAGGCAUGGAAAGUGUCAGUUGAGCUGACGGUCGGGUUCGGCGGUCUUUGCGAAGGAAGGAAGGUCGAGACGGUCCGCAGGUUGUUCGGUCCGGAGUCGCUUUGUUUGGAGUCGCGAACAGUGCAGCCCUUUGAAUGAGGAAUUGCUAUCGAUCCAUACGAUGCUUCAGGACGACUACGCCACAACGGCAAUCCAGAACAAAGGUGGAAAUGCUGUGGAGUUUCAAGAGCAAAGCACCAAUUUUACGGGGAGAGUAUAACUUAGUUACUCUUAGUGUUUGUGUCCACUUCCUCACGAACUCACUGGGUGUGCAUGGACUAACACCAUUUUCUGUGUGUGUACUGAGAUGUGCAUCAUGUCAAGGCAACAAUGCUGAAACAUAUUGGUCAGUAAAAUACUUUUGAAAAAAUGUUUUUGCUUGUGUGUUGGGUUUUGGAGGGAAUGGUGAAAGUACGAAAUUUGCUUUGACGACUUGAAUUAAAAUUAUAAAAAUGUUAGGAAGUGGGACGAACUGGACAAACAUACACAACGUAGAAUAAGAGUUAAAUAAAGUGCAAGGCAGUCCCCCCUACCCCCAUUUAGGACUGACAUGACAAGUGACGUAAUGCAGUAAUAUAAUUUUUUUUCCUCCCUGUUAUUGCAUGGUAGAGAAGCAGGCUGUGAUGGGAGGUAGCAAGUAGAACCAACAAAGUAGAUACACCAAUCAAAUAUUCAAGUGACAUGACUAUACUAUUGAACUUGUUUUAAACAAGGAGCAGGUUGGGACAUGCAGUUGGCUACUCUUGUUUCUUUGUCAUUGCAGGCUGGUGGAGGAGACAUUUGGGACCGGAGGCAACAAGGAAAAGGAAGAAUUCCACACAUCAAAUCAAGAAUAAAGUGGAACACAGAUGAGUUGUCUGUUCAUAAUUUUUCUGCAGGGUGGAUGUAAAGAGUAAACGAGAGGGGCCAGAGUACGGAGCUUUGUGGUUUGCCUUGGUUGACUGUAAUGAUGGAAGGUAGUUGUUUGGUGUUCGCAAGGUCUCAUUUGUAAAGAGGGCAGGCAUGGAAAGUGUUUGUAGAGCUGAUGGGUGGACAUGGUUUGGUUUGUGUUCUUUGCGAAGGAAGGAAGGUUGAGAUGGUCUGCAGGUUGUUUGGCUCGUCUUGGUCCAGAGUCGCUUUGUUUGGAGUUGUGAACAGUGCAGCCUUUGAAUGAGGAAUUCAUAUCGAUCAGUAUAAUGUUUCAGGAUGACACAACAGGUACGCAGUCCCAAGAUAAACAUAUUUUUCCUUCAGGUGAGUGUGCGAUUAAUGUGCAUUAACAGCUAUGCAAACACAAGUUAAGGUGUCUUUUGUUUUGUUUUUUGCAGCAAUCCAGAACAAAGGUGGAAAUGCUGUGGAGUUUCAAGAGCAAAGCACCAACUUUACGGGGAGAGUAUAACUUAGUUACUCUUAGUGUUUGUGUCCACUUCCUCACGAACUCACUGGGUGUGCACGGACUAACACCAUUUUUUGUGUGUGUACUGAGAUGUGCAUCAUGUUAAGGCAACAAUGCUGAAACAUUGUGGUCAGUAAAAUGUACUUUUGGGAAAAAACUGUUUUUAUUUGUGUGUUGGGGGGUUUGGGAUGGAAUGGUGAAAGUUGUUCUCAAUGUGCUUUGAUGACUUGAAUUAAAAUUCUAAAAAGAUUAGGAAGUGGGACUACAUGCACAUACAGAUAAGAGCCAGAUGGGACAAGGAAAAGAGACAAUCCAUCAAAUCAAGAAUCAAGCAUCACACAAGUUGUCUGAGGAGCAUGUAGAUGUUGAACAGGACUGGGCAGAGUCGUGAGGUUUGUGGCACACCUUGGUUGACGAUACCCAUGGGUGGUGAUUGUCAUGGUAAAAAAGGUCUUUUAACGAGGGCAGGUGUGAAGAGUGUUCAUCGGGUUGAUGGUUGGCCACGGUCGUGCAGUCAAGUGGUGUUGGCAGGAUCUCGCUUUAUACGGGCCGGCAUUUGUUUGACUUUUCUGCAGCCAGAACAGCUUGUUUUGAGGGAGGGGCAUAUUGAGCAAUAAACACAAAUGUACUCAUCUGCGGUCUUUUUUUUCUGUCUGUCAUUGUUGUACAGUUUUGUCGCCGAGUGUUGAUUUUGUUUUUGUUGCAGGGCAGCAGUGAAGUGGAAUGAGUUGAGAGGCACAAAGAACCACUGCGAAUGACUGGCAGCUUCAACAUCUUGAGGAAAAUCUACAGUAAGUAAUAAGUAAAUACACACAAUGAUGUGAGCUAGCAAAAAACAAAUUAUACAGUGUCUUUAGCAGGGUGGAAGGUGCGCCGGUUGGGACGCAACGCAGAGCAAGGUUAACCAACAAAGUAGACACUCCAAUCAUUAUUCAACUAUACUAUUGAAUUUGUUUUAAACAAUCAUGUAGGAAAUGCAGGAGGCUACUAUAGUUUGUUUGUCAUCACAGGCUGGAGGAGACAUUUGUGACAGGAAGCACCAAGGAGAACCAGAGCGGGGGAAGAAGUACCAAGGUUCCAAGAAAGACUUACUUCAGAGGAAUGAUGUGUUUGUUUUGUGGAGCGGUAGAGUUGUUCUGAUAAAAGGAAAGGCUGGCCAAAGGUAACAAAAUAUGUGGCAGAACUUUUUUUCAUUUUUUUUUGCAGGGCUCAGAAGUAGCUGGAUGGGAUGAGGAAAAGGAACAAUUCCACACCAAGAAUAAAGCGGCACACAGAUGAGUUUUCUGUUCAUAAUUUAUCUGCAGGGUGGAUGUAAAGAGUAAACCGGAGGGGGCAGAGUACGGAGCUUUGCGGUUUGCUUUGGUUGACCGGAGCGACGGAAGGUAGUUUGGCGUUUGCGAGGGCAGACGUAGAAAGUGUCGGUAGAGCCGAGGGAUGGAUACGUCGGUGCGGUGAAGUGGUCUCUUGCGAAGGUUUUGAGACGGUCUGAAGCGUACAGUACAGGGUUUGAGGGAGGAGUCCAUAUUGAGCAAUAAACACAAAUGUACUAACCUGGGGUCUUUUGUUUCGGUAUGCUGGCCAGCUCCUUUGUGUGGUUUUGUUAAAUUGCAGUUUGCCUUGUUUGACUGUCGCUACGGAAGGGUAGUUUGGUGGCAGGUCUGGUCGUAAUGAGGGCAGGCAUGGAAAGUGUCAGUUGAGCUGAAGGUCGGGUUCGGCGGUCUUUGCGAAGGAAGGAAGGUCGAGACGGUCCGCAGGUUGUCCGGCCCGUCUCGGUCCGGAGUCGCUGUGUUUGGAGUUGCGAACAGUGCAGCCCUUUGAAUGAGGAAUCGUCAUAUUGAUCAACACAAAUCAACAUUUUUCCUUUGUUUUUUUCUUUUUAACCCAGGGUGAAGACCAACAAAUGGCACACAUCGACGAGAUGACCAGCUUCUUGUCCCUUGAGAACGAAGGUGGAAAUGCUGCACUGCUGAAAGAGCCAAGCACUCACUCUGUACAGGGAGUAUGUCUUCGUUCCAUUUAGUGGUUCUGUCCGCUUUCCCACCAACUCACUGGGUGUGCAUGAACUGACGCAGUCGAUUUGUGGUUUUUCUACUGUGCUCUGCGUCGUGGCGCCAAUGAUGAAAAGUGUUUCAAUA